GAUUUCUGGCUCGUCGUCCUAGCCCGCUUGCUUCGGUGGGUGAGUGCUGGUACGAUCUGCCAUCCUUCCAGAAAGCCGUGAGUACCAUUUACUUGGCCGCUCGCGUGCAAUCUGGAUCAUUUACUUUGAAAAAAUUAGAGUGUUUAAAGCAGGCUUACGCCUUGAAUACAUUAGCAUGGAAUAAUAACAUAGGACUUCGGUUCUAUUUUGUUGGUUUCUAGGACUGAAGUAAUGAUUGAUAGGGAUAGUUGGGGGUGCUAGUAUUCAGCGGCCAGAGGUGAAAUUCUCGGAUUCGCUGAAGACUAACUUAUGCGAAAGCAUU
rnacentral:rRNA from 1 species